AGCUACCCUCCUGUAGGUUUUAACUCCAACCCUGUUCCUGGAGAGAUGCCCUCCUGUAGGUUUUAACUCCAACCCUGUUCCUGGAGAGCUACCCUCCUGUAGGUUUUAACUCCAACGCUGUUCCUGGAGAGAUACCCUCCUGUAGGUUUUAACUCCAACCCUGUUCCUGGAGAGAUACCCUCCUGUAGGUUUUAACUCCAACCCUGUUCCUGGAGAGAUGCCCUCCUGUAGGUUUUAACUCCAACCCUGUUCCUGGAGAGAUGCCCUCCUGUAGGUUUUAACUCCAACCCUGUUCCUGGAGAGAUGCCCUCCUGUAGGUUUUAACUCCAACCCUGUUCCUGGAGAGAUACCCUCCUGUAGGUUUUAACUCCAACCCUGUUCCUGGAGAGAUACCCUCCUGUAGGUUUUAACUCCAACCCUGUUCCUGGAGAGAUGCCCUCCUGUAGGUUUUAACUCCAACCCUGUUCCUGGAGAGAUACCCUCCUGUAGGUUUUAACUCCAACCCUGUUCCUGGAGAGAUGCCCUCCUGUAGGUUUUAAUUCCAACCCUGUUCCUGGAGAGAUACCCUCCUGUAGGUUUUAACUCCAACCCUGUUCCUGGAGAGAUGCCCUCCUGUAGGUUUUAAU